GUGAGGAAUAUUGGACAAUGGGCGCAAGCCUGAUCCAGCCAUGCCGCGUGCAGGAAGACGCAUCUAUGGUGUGUAAACUGCUUUUGUACGGGAAGAAACACUCCCUCGUGAGGGAGCUUGACGGUACCGUAAGAAUAAGGAUCGGCUAACUCCGUGCCAGCAGCCGCGGUAAUACGGAGGAUCCAAGCGUUAUCCGGAAUCAUUGGGUUUAAAGGGUUCGUAGGCGGUUUAAUAAGUCAGUGGUGAAAGCCCAUCGCUCAACGAUGGAACGGCCAUUGAUACUGUUAGACUUGAAUUACAAGGAAGUAACUAGAAUAUGUAGUGUAGCGGUGAAAUGCUUAGAUAUUACAUGGAAUACCAAUUGCGAAGGCAGGUUACUACUUGUGGAUUGACGCUGAUGGACGAAAGCGUGGGGAGCGAACAGGAUUAGAAACCCCAGUAGUCC
rnacentral:rRNA from 1 species